UACGUAGGGGGCGAGCGUUGUCCGGAAUUACUGGGCGUAAAGGGUACGUAGGCGGCUAGGUAAGUCAGGUGUGAAAUCCAUGGGCUCAACCCAUGUAAGCACUUGAAACUGCUUAGCUUGAGUUAAGGAGAGGAAAGCGGAAUUCCUGGUGUAGCGGUGAAAUGCGUAGAUAUCAGGAGGAACACCAGUGGCGAAGGCGGCUUUCUGGCCUUGGACUGACGCUGAGGUACGAAAGCGUGGGGAGCAAACAGG
rnacentral:rRNA from 2 species